rnacentral:snRNA from 1 species
GGAGUAUUGUGAGGGCGAUCCUGGCUCCGACAUUUUGUCACCCCAUUGAUCGCCAGGUUGGAUAGGCCUAAUCUGGGGUGGCUAGACGGGGUUUCCCUCCCUCCCUCACCCACUCCACGGUGGUCCUUCCCAAAAGCUGUGCCGUUUCGUCACUUGUUUGUUUGGUUGCUGGGUCAAAAGAGGAUGGCCUUCCUGAAUAGGAGAUUUUUGAGGGUAUACAAGUAGCGGCACUCCCCUGCUAGACCUGCCAAAUAAGCUCUCAUUAAGUUAUGGGGGGAGGGGCCGGGGCAAUGACACACCCAGUAUGUAUAUUGUAGUAUGUAUAUUGUAGU